UAGGAUGUGAAUUUUAUGGCUAGAGUAUGAAAGUACAUCACAACCCAUUAUAGGGUAUGAAAUCUAUUACACGAACUUAUUUGGUGGCUUUUUAAAACACGUAUGCGGUCUGAGCUAAACUUGCUGGAUUCGGACAAACCAUAACUCCUAUGAUACAUUCGCUUGCCUGAUGAGAGUUUCUAAUAUUUCUCUUCGCCCCUUCAUUCAUCUGAUAUUGUUAUAUAAGGUUUUAAAUUGG
rnacentral:misc_RNA from 1 species